GCACCCGGGAGGAAAGGCGAGGCUCUGCAUCUAGAUUUACCUCGUUCUCUUUUGUCUCCGCUUUUUUUUCACAUUUCCUUGCGACCCUGGCCCUUGAGCGACAAAAAGGGGAAGCCAAGGCUGGCCCGAGGAACGGAGAGGGCACAUGGCCUAGCCACAAGUGGAGCUUCUGCUCCGCCCGAAGGGAUGCGCUGGAGCGGCCUCUUCCUUCUGCCACGGUCUUUCUUUGCCAACUAGUAGUAGAGAUGGGGUUUCACCAGGUUAGCCAGGCUGGUCUUGAACUCCAGACCUCAAGGGAUCCGCCUGCCUCAGCUUUCCAAAGUGCUGGGAUUACAGGUGGAGACUGGACCUCAGAAGAGGGAGUGGGUGCCCCGAGAACUCACAGCUAGCGGACAGUGGAAAGGGCAGGAGCCGGACCAAGGUGAGGACAGUGGAACUGAAGGCCGCUGGUUACCUCUCCUGCCCUCCGCUGGCCACAGUGGAGAAGACAGCCCCUCCCUCCUGCUCUGACCUGACAGUGUUCAUCCAUCGCCCUGUAUUAGCGAAGAACAACAUCAAGCUGGCUAGCAAGGAACUGUAUACAGGGUCCAGCUGGGUAUCACACUGGAUCUCACCCAAAGCUUAGAUGUGAUCCAGCUCAGUAUCACAAAGCAGAACGAAAAGGAUGUGUUUGGGCUGAGAGGCCAUACAUUGGCUCCGGCAUGACGGGUGACUUCUUCCGAGUCUGGCUUCUGCAGCACACAGGGCUUCGCCAGCACCCAGCUCCUGCAGCAUGGGCAGCUCCUGUGACAGCAGGCGCCCGCAGCCUGCAAAGCGUCUCCAGUGCCGCCGCCUCAGUGAACCUCAACCAGCGGCACCUAGCAGCUUUCUCUGCCACCCUCUUCAGGUAGUUCUGUAGCAGCGCGUUUCUCAUGAGACACUUCCCUGUGAGCAGCUUUUUCUACCCUUGAGGAUGGAUUUCCAGCAAAUUCUGCCCAUGUGGUACCACAGCCACUUCUCUGCCAUUCAGUGAAACUGCCGUUGUGCCCUCUUCAAGGUCUGGAUCUAAGCCCAGGGACCAGGAAACCUCUUGCUUGAGUGCUGGAACUCAGGCCAGAAGGCAGGAAGCCCGCCUGACCCCAUGUCUCAGGCUGCCAGAGGAGCGUGCGAUGAGGAAGGCUGGACUGUCUUCACAGGACACCAGGGAGAAGCCUCAAGCCACUGCCCCCUGACAAGUCGCAGCUCUCCAGCCUGUCUCCUCACUCCCCUCCCCUCCACAUGGGGGGGUUGGGGUGGGGGCGGGGAAGGUUCGGGGCAGGGGUCAUUUCAGCUACUGGGCACCAGUCUCCUCCUCAUGUUUAUCCUGUUCCCUUUGCUUGAAAGGUUCGUACUCCAGAUCCUUGUAAAACCGCUUCUCACCCUUUGAGUCUCAGCUUAAAUGUCCCCUCCUUGGAGGGGUCUUCCCUGACAAUGAAGCUCCGACCGUCCUCUCCUGUUUUACCCAGUUCAUUUCUUUCUGGCAUUUGUAACUACUUGAAGUUAAA
rnacentral:lncRNA from 1 species